AUUGAACGCUGGCGGCAGGCCUAACACAUGCAAGUCGAGCGAGCGGCGGACGGGUGAGUAAUGUCUGGGAAACUGCCUGAUGGAGGGGGAUAACUACUGGAAACGGUAGCUAAUACCGCAUACCAUCAGAUGUGCCCAGAUGGGAUUAGCUAGUAGGUGGGGUAAUGGCUCACCUAGGCGACGAUCCCUAGCUGGUCUAAGAGGAUGACCAGCCACGCUGGAACUGAGACGCGGUCCAGACUCCUGCGGGAGGCAGCAGUGGGAAAUAUUGCACAAUGGGCGCAAGCCUGAUACAGCCGUGCGGCGUGUAUGAAGAAGGCCUUCGGGUUGUAAAGUACUUUCAGCGAGGAGGCGUUACUCGCAGAAGAAGCACCGGCUAACUCCGUGCCAGCAGCCGCGGUAAUUC
rnacentral:rRNA from 1 species